AGGAUGAACGCUGGCGGUGUGCCUAAUACAUGCAAGUCGAACGAGACCUUCGGGUCUAGUGGCGGACGGGUGAGUAACACGUUGGUACCUACCCCUAAGUGGGGAAUAACUGCCCGAAAGGGUGGCUAAUACCGCAUAAUCCCGCAAGGGUAAAGCAGUAAUGCGCUUAGGGAGGGGCCUGCGUCCCAUUAGCUUGUUGGUAGUGUAAUGGACUACCAAGGCGACGAUGGGUAGCUGGAUCGAGAGGUUGACCAGCCACACUGGGACUGAGAUACGGCCCAGACUCCUACGGGAGGCAGCAGUAAGGAAUCUUCCACAAUGGACGAAAGUCUGAUGGAGCAACACCGCGUGCAGGAUGACGGUCUUCGGAUUGUAAACUGCUUUUAUAUGGGAAGAUUAUGACGGUACAUAUGAAUAAGGACCGGCUAACUACGUGCCAGCAGCCGC
rnacentral:rRNA from 1 species